CGGUGAGGAGAAACUGUAGGUGGGCUAAGCGCAGCGAGCUUUCUGUAGGGGCUAAGGGGUGGGUGGGUGGCUCGGGAUUGGGAUUGGGGCCGCUGGCUUCUACGGCCGCUGCCGCCCCGCGCAAGCGUACGGCCGCUUGUUGGCGCACGUGUCGUCGCGCCGCGACGUCUGCGUGCCGUAGACCGUCUCGCGGUAGCCGAUGCUGGGGAUGCGGGGGCUCUUGUUGUUGUUCGUCGUCCGGGGGAGGAGGAGGCAGAGGCGGUUGCGGCGUCGGCGGCGUCGGUUGCGGCGGCGGCUUCGGCGGCGCGGAGGGAGGAGGCUGGGGCCGCGGAGGAGCCUCUUGCGGAUGUGGUCGAAGGUCCCGGAGGAGCGCGAGCGGGCGCAGUGACCUAGGUUGAGGCUGCUCUGGGCCCCGCGGACGUUCUUCACGCCGGCACAACCGGUAGAGUGGAAGGUCACGGCGUUGAAGGAAAGACAGUUCCUCGAACGGUACCUGCUGCUGUAGGUUCGACCGUACGACAGGCGGCGCGUCCGGUUCCGGUUCAAGCUCCUCUAGUGCUUCUUUCGGAGACCACGGUCUCUGCGACUGCUCCUCCCAAGACUGCUCCUUCUACUCCUACUCUAACUGUCGCUAAGGAGACUAAGGCUAUAACUAGGGCUCGACCUCUUCUAUUAACGACUUGCCCUCGCACGGUUUUCGGCACCUCCCUUCGCCAGUCCCCUCCUCCUGUUCUUCUGUUCGGCGGUAUCCUCGUUCUCGUCCCCUUCUAGCUUCGUGUCCUACUCGUCCUUCUCACUGUCACUCCUGCUAAGCCUCCUCCUCUCUUGAUUCCUGUUCUUCUUCUUAUCCGCCUUCUUCGUGUCUAGGAGUCUACUCCUAUCGCUCUCACUGAGACUGUCCUUCUACGUGUCCUUCUCAUCCUUUCUAUCCUUCUCCGCCUCCUGGGUGGCGGCCUUCCUACUAAGUAGUCUACUACUACUUAGACCUCCCCUUCCCUCCUCCGUAGUGGCGGUGGUGUUCUCCGCAGUAGUGGCCUCCCUACGUAGACCAUCACUGUCACUACCGUCACUUGGGGGUGUACCUUCUUUCGCUAGGUCGUUCUUCUUCUCGGUGUUCUCCAGUCUUUCAGUACAUAACCCACUCCUACUCGCUGUAACAGGCGUUCCCCGUUCGGCGAGACCUCUCUUCUCAUUCCUCGUAUUCUCCCCGAUUUCUCCUCGCGACUUCGCCAUUUAACGUGAGUAGCUACUAACGUUGUCACGAAUAGGAAACAAUAAACAGAACAGUUUACCAACAACGUAAAAUUCGUACUAAGAAUUAUACACAUUGUAUAAACACAUAAUGACGAACAGUCACCGACUUGGUAGGUAUAUACGUAUUUACCACAACGGAACUUUAGUCAUUAAACACGUAUAUAAAUUAUUCUUAGAAAGUUUCCAUCGAAAUCGUAUGGUGAUUGAUAUUAUAACGUCACUACCUCGGACAUUUCGUCCGUCCAUAUAGUUCUAACCGGAACAUAUUUCGAGAAGUCAAUAGUCCACCAUUUUCCUAUAACCCACCCUAUUGAAUACGUCCAAAUACGUCUUGAGUCUACAAAGAUACGAACAUAAAGUCAAAAGGACGUUUAAGUACACGGCAUCGGUGCAUUAUUUUAGCCAUGACUGUGUAUAAACCAGUUCUAAAGAUUUACAGACUAAACUAUAGUCGACUAAAUAACAACGUCUGUACCAUCGAGAGAUAUAUUAACCAAAACUCAAUUGCUACUACUAGAUAUGAUACUAAAACUAAAUCGGCUAAACAUGGUUAAAGAAACUACAGAUUGAGACUUAGUUACAUCGUAACCCACUCAACCUCUUGGACAAUGUUGUGUGAACGUACUGUUCUUAAACUAGAAGACAACCUAAACCAUAUACAAUGCCGAUGGUUGUAGUUUGACACUUAAGAGAAAACGAUAAAUUACGCAAUCAAAUUUCAGAUAACUCCACAAAAAGGAACCAUCACUGAAAUCAGACGUCAAAUUGAACGUACCAUUCAAUGAGGUGGUUAGAGUACCACCCCUCACUAGAGAAAGGACGUGAAAUUCGCAAACUUCACGCCUGAACCCUCCAUGUAAGAUCAGAUCUCGUUUCGGAAGAAAACGUGGAGAAGUCCAAGGUGAUGAACGGAUUCUUUUGUG
rnacentral:rRNA from 1 species